GCAAUUUAAUGAUGCAGUAAAACAUGCGUAAGUCAAUGCAAGGCGGGUGCCCAGGUUAAUAACCACAAUUCACAAAGAUAUGAUAGUGACUGCAACCAAGAAGUUGCUGACACGAAACCACAGUGAUGGCGAGGAUCUUCCUUACAAGGAUAAUGCACCAAGCCAUGCAGCACAGUUCAGACAACUUGAGAUAGGCCUGCUAGACUUUGUAUCGCCGAACACCUACCGUACUUGCCCGAUCUAACGCACAAGUGUAGAAAAUACGACACAUUCGAUAAUCGGGCAGGUGAAAUGCUGAUAGAGUGGCCACCGGUUACUUUUACUUAGAUAAUGGUGCGAGGGUGUAUUCGAUCAAUGGGUACACAUAUACACGUAUGUUGAUAGAGGCAGAGACUGUAUUGUAAAGAGUUAAAUCCCAACGUAAGACUUCGCGAUAACCUGCCCCGCAUCCAGUACCCCUACCUUUCCCCGAAACCUUCAGAAUCCGACCCAGACGAGAUACAGAUUUGAAAAUUAGUGCACAUGUGCAAU
rnacentral:sRNA from 1 species